rnacentral:RNase_P_RNA from 1 species
AGUCGGCCGGGCAGUCGCUGCGUGUUAUGCGUGGAGGAAAGUCCGGGCUCCAAUGGGCAGGGUGCCAGGUAACGCCUGGGCGGCGUGAGCCGACGGAAAGUGCCGCAGAAAAUAUACCGCCGAUGGGGGCGUUCGCGUCUCACAGGUAAGGUUGAAAUGGUGCGGUAAGAGCGCACCGCGCCGGUGGUAACACCGCGUGGCAAGGUAAACCCCACUCGGAGCAAGACCAAAUAGGGGGGCAUACGCGUGGCCCGCGCGGCUCCCGGGUAGGUCGCUUGAGGUGCUUGGCGACAAGCAUCCCAGAUGAAUGACUGCUCUCGACAGAACCCGGCUUACAGGCCGGCUUC